GAGAUUGCGUCGACGCGGAUCCCGAAAAGGGCGUCGAUCCGUCGCGACAGCGGGACGGUGGUCAUGGAAGUCGAAAUCCGCUAAGAAGCGUGUAAAAACGUACCCGCCCAACGGAUCGGCCCCGAAAAUUGAUGGCGCUCGAACGCAACCCUCGAACCCCGCCGACGGAGGCUAGGGGAGGCCCCGUCGAGUAGGCGGACGCGCGGGUCGCUUCGACGCUCUCGCGCGAGCGGGGGCGGAGCGGCCCGUGGUGCAGAUCUUGGUGGUAGUAGCGAUCACCCAGGCGAGAACCCUGAGGGCCGAAGUGGAGAAGGGUUUCUCGAGAACGGCACUCGCUCGAGAGUUAGUCGAUCCUAAGCUGCCGGCGGCAGCCACGAAACGGUCGAUCGGGCGCGAGCCCGGCAGCCACGACCGGGCAGCGAAAGGGAAUUGGGAACCUCCUUCCCAAACCCGGAACCGGAACGAGGGCGGCGACGCGAACGAAACGGCCGCGGAGACGGCGGCCGCGGCCCCGG
rnacentral:rRNA from 1 species